CUCCAGCAGAUUAGAUCCAUUCAUCUUUAACUUUGGAAAGUCUUUAGCUAAAUUCUCUGCGUUAAAGUUCCCGUUACUUACAGCAGUUGUCUGUCCCUGGUGUUGAAUGUGUGGAUAUCCGCAGUAUGGCAAGGGGAUGCUUGUAGGCAAUUUAAAAGUCCCUCCUUGUGUUUUUUUUUCUUCUUCUCUCCAUAGGCUGCUCUGUGCAUGCGCGAAGUCCAUUCCAAUCAUGGAGUCGUCGGCGAAGGAUCUUGCUGUGGCUGCUCCAGGUCGUGCUGGCCUCUGCUCUGCCCCCGAGGGUCCAGUGGCGGUCCGGAGACGUCCGAAGAGUCGCUCUCUCGCCGUGAUGAAGUCCGUGUCCUCUUGGGCGUGCUCAUGGUGGCGGUAUCAACAACAACGACUGGAGCGACUUGGGGCGACCUUAUGUACCUAGGGGCGGAGCUUCAGAACGGUGAAAUACCAUGCUGAUUUUAAAAUAUUGGGCUAGAAGGCUCUGAAGGCCAAAAAAAAAGAGUUCAGGCCAUUCCCUAUUCCAGUGAUGGAGAACCUUUUUGGCAAUGAGUGCUGAAAAGGGAGCGCACGCACACGCAUCUGGACCACAACCCAGGAGUUGCCCAGGGCACAUGUGUGCACCCAAAAAUGCACUGAAUUUCCAGUUUCAGCCAGCUACUCUUCCGGUUUCUGGUGAACAUGGGCACGUGACGAUCAGCUGGCUGGCAUGCAUGCUCACGCAGGAAAAUGGAAGGCCAGCUAUUCUAGUUUCCGGUACUGCUGCAUACAAAAAGACCAGCUGAUUGUUGUGCAAGUAUGCGCGCCAGAAACCCAAAAGAGGAACGAGUGAUGCCAUGCGUGCCAGACGACAUGGCUCUGUGUGUCACUUCAGGCUCGCGUGCCAUAGGCUUGCCAUCACAGCCCUAUUCCAUCUACAAAAGACCAAGGAGAAGCAAGAAAAAGUCACAGCUUUGUUCAAAUUUCUUAUUGACAAUUACUGUUGCUUGAAGCAAGCAUCAUGCAGAAUCCCUUGCUCUCUAUGUUAAUUAUGCUUUAUGACAAUUAAAAGCAAAAGCAUGUUGACUACAAUACAAACAUAGAGCUGGAGAGAGGUUUAUAGUGCAUCAGAGGUGAGGACUUUAUUUUGUUGAGGGCCACGUUCCUUCUAGCCCUAGUCUAUUGGGAGAAUGAAUGGUGUACAGGAGAAGCAGUGGGUGAGGAUACUUAGUCUCUCUUUGGUAGUAAUUUUUCACCACCUUUUGACUUUCUCUUUUAUCUCUCCUAAUCUUCAAGGAAAGAUAGAUAAGAAACAUUCUCAGUAUGAAAUGGUUUGCCUUCUUCUGAAAUACUGUUUUGAUUUCCCACUUUCGCUCAUACCUGUGGGAUUUUCUGGUUGUCUCCUAUUCAAAAACUAAGCAAGAUGAUCUAUUUAGCUUUGUCAAAGACAGUCAAAAUUAGAUAGGUGCUGUCACUAAUUCUUAAAGAGCUAAACUAAUCUUGGUUAAUGGACUUGAAAUUAGUCCAAGUGGCUACUACAUUUGAGUUCUGGAGCUUUCUGCCAUUUAUGCAGAAGUUUAACUGAACAAAAUGAGUCUUACUUCUGAGUAGACAUGUAUUGAAUUGUACGGGGGCCUUCUUCAUAUUUUUCCCAGGUUCAAGUCCCUCAAAUCAAGUUUUUACAAAAUUUGCAAAAAAAUAGAUUAACAAUUGAGGACCCAGAUUAUGGGGGCAAUAAACUGACUUUGUAUAAAUAUACAAAAGUAUGAAGGCUAUUGCUUAACGCACUGUAAGCCGCCCUGAGUCUCUGGAGAAGGGCGGCAUAUAAAUCAAAUUAAAAAAACAAACAAACAAAAAAAACAAAGUAGCCAACCAAUAUUAAAUCAUGGCAUUGUAUAAACACAGUUAGUUUGAUCUAUGUUUAGGUUUUGGCAUGUUGUACAUCAAGGUUUAAUUAAUCACGAUGAACACACUGUGAGAACAGAGGCACUACAGGUCAUAGCUCGUAUUAGUCCCAAACUACUAGAAAAAAAGUCUGCUCUAGAUAUGGUACAUGUGCAUUGUGAUUAAUAAAUAAGUUUAGUAACAAAACGAAAACAGGAGACAUUUAAGUGUUGUUUGGGUAACUUAGCAUUAGAUUUACAAAAGCAACAAGUAUGUGAAACCUAUUGUACAAAAUCAGCCAUUGUGUAAGCAAGAAAUGACAAGGGGGAAAAAACAAG